rnacentral:rRNA from 1 species
UACGGAGGGUGCAAGCGUUAAUCGGAAUUACUGGGCGUAAAGCGCUCGUAGGCUGUUAUGUAAGUCAGAGGUGAAAUGCCAGGGCUCAACCGUGGAACUGCCUUUGAUACUGCGUAACUUGAGUCCGGGAGAGGAUGGCGGAAUUCCAGGUGUAGGAGUGAAAUCCGUAGAUAUCUGGAGGAACAUCAGUGGCGAAGGCGGCCAUCUGGACCGGAACUGACGCUGAGGAGCGAAAGCGUGGGGAGCAAACA